UGAGAUCAUCUCAUGCCUCGAUGUCC
rnacentral:piRNA from 1 species